rnacentral:rRNA from 1 species
AGAGCGAACGCUGGCGGCGUGCUUAACACAUGCAAGUCGAGUGCGCGCCUGUAGCAAUACAGGUGGCGCACGGCGCACGGGUGCGUAACACGUGGGCAAUCUGCCCUCGGAUGGGGGAUAACUCGCCGAAAGGCGAGCUAAUACCGCAUGACAUUCCUGGAACUCCGGUUCCGGGACUCAAAGGCCGCAAGGCCGUCUGAGGAGGAGCCCGCGCCCGAUUAGCUAGUUGGUGAGGUAACGGCUCACCAAGGCUUUGAUCGGUA